rnacentral:rRNA from 1 species
UACGAAGGGUGCAAGCGUUACUCGGAAUUACUGGGCGUAAAGGGCGCGUAGGCGGCGUUUUAAGUCGGGGGUGAAAGCCUGUGGCUCAACCACAGAAUGGCCUUCGAUACUGGGACGCUUGAGUAUGGUAGAGGUUGGUGGAACUGCGAGUGUAGAGGUGAAAUUCGUAGAUAUUCGCAAGAACACCGGUGGCGAAGGCGGCCAACUGGACCAUUACUGACGCUGAGGCGCGAAAGCGUGGGGAGCAAACAGG